UAUUAUUUAUUUAUUAAUAUGGUGGCGAGUGAUGUAGCAGUGCUAUCCUCAUAUUUAUAGGCUGCAGUAGAUCACCAUGUUAAGUUUUCACCAUACUGCAAUUAUGCCUCAUUUGCCAAUAGAAUAUGAAUUGUUAGGUGUGGUCACUGGUGUGGAAUUGCUUGUUGUGUAAGUAAUGAUGGCAAAACAAACUCAUUCUGCUCGAUCAACUAUGCACUUAUGCAAUGCUUUUUUUUUUUUCAGGAACACUGUUGAAGUACUUUGGAGCACAACCAACUCUACCCACCCCUGAUGUUUCAUCAAGUGUCAGUGCCUCCACAGCUGAUGAUACAGCAGGUUCAUCCACUGCAGAGUUACAAGCACCUGAAAGUGAGGAGCAGUUACAAGCACUUACAUUCACUGAUACAUCGGUUUCAACCUCAGCCGGCAUGACAGGUCCUUCUACAUCUGCACCCACUACUAUAGAUUUAUAACUAUAUAUAUAUAACUAUAGAUUUCCCAUCCACUCCCUCAACAAGCUCCAGCUAUCAAGAUAGAUCAACAGCUCCUCCGGUUGACCCAGUUGAAUGGUCAGAAUUCCUGUCAGACUCAGAAAGGACUGAUCUGGUAAGAAGAGGG